AUGGACCAUCAUGCACCAUAAUUUAAAAACUGUGUAAAGUGAUAAAACAGUGACUUCAUAUUUCUAUUCCAAGAACGUGGAAAGGCACAGCGCUCACUCAAACAUAUCAUGUACUUAGACUUUAACUUCAACCUGGAGCUAAUUAUUAAGCCCAGGAUGAAUGUAAAUAUUAUCAUGAACAUGGUGCAGGUGUCAUGUUGGUAUCAUGGUGCAAGUGUCAUGAUGGUAACAUGGUGCAGGUGUCAUGAUGGUAACAUGGUGCAGGAAUUGUGACUAACUUAACCGUUCAACAACUGUUAUGUCUCAACCAUUGUCUGAUCCUUUUAUUGUGUGUUCUUUCAGUGGCCAAACCUGUUUGUGU
ensembl:lncRNA